rnacentral:lncRNA from 1 species
UCCACCACAGGCAUUGAUGUGACUCCACUUGACCUUCUCUUUUCCUGGGAAAUCUUCAGCGUCUUCCCGGGCUUGCUAGACAUAAAGUUGCCUUCAGAACCAAAAGAGUCUAUUGCACUUGGAGGCAUUUGGCAGAGACCCAGAGUCUCUUAGGUUUGCGCCUCAGCGUGUCUUGGAGAUGGAACAGGUUCAUGCCUGCCUGGUUAGUAGCGAGAAGGGAGGAGAGGACCCCAGGGGGAUGGGGCUGCAGAGCUCAUUCAGGAGUCAAGGGCAAAACCUCAUUGUGCUCGCCCAGGGCCAGUAGCAAGGCCUGGGUGGGUCUGUCGGGUCUAAGACCCCUCUUCACCUGGGAUCGCAGCCUAUGCUGAUUUGUGAAUGCCUCGCUCCCACCCCACUUCUGGCUCCAUCUACUCCCGCAACCCUGACAAAAAUCCAUAUCCUUGCAGUUUUGACCUACUCAUCUGUAGACCUUGCUCAAGAGUAAUUUUCGCUGGGUAUUAACCUUUGUACAACAAAGUUGAUUGCCAACAGCUAGAAAAAUUCUUUAGGAAAAAAACAUGGACAAAAAUAGAAAUAAGAAUACUGGCGUGCCCCAUGAGCCAGCAAGUGGCUAAGCACCUUACCUGGGUUAUCUCCUUACAUCCUCCCAACCCACUCUCCACCCCCCACCAAGAACGUAGGUACUAUAUUGUCUCCUUUUUUGCUGCUGAAGACACUGAGCCUCAAGGAAAUAAGAACCCUAAGUUUAGCCAGCUAGCCUGACCUGGAUGGAACAGGGUCAACUUUUCUGAAAGCCAGCUUCCCUCCCAGACUAGACUUGGGAGAGAAACCUGCUCACUAGGAGGGCUAAAGGGAGCCUCUCUCUGGGACAAAGUGGUCCUUUUCUGUAUAGCUCUGUCCCAGCCUGUAGGGAGCCAGGAAAGUGUUUUCUACAGGCUCCAGCUCACAGACCAUUCAGCUGGGAGGCAGUAACCAGAUGGACCAGCGAUUCCCAUCCAGGGCCCAGCUUGCUGCUGCCAGGGCUAGGAGUCAGUAUGACCCUGCACUUGCCAUGAUUCAGAGAUGAAGCAGAGGUACUUGCUGUGUCAUAUGUCCCCACAAAAGGAGUGCAGGAUAAUAAUUCCUUUGUGAGAGCCCUUUAAAAGAGCACUUACAUUUGUAAGGGGGUUGGGGAGAGAGAAAAAGAAAAGAAAGAACCUCUAAUUUUUGGGCAUAUUUAUCCUGGGAGAUGAGCACAUUUUGGUGGUGGCAAACAGUUCGGUGAUUUGCAACAUUAGAACAAGUAGUUCUAUUUCCAGUAUGCUCCCUGUGAUGAUGGGGAGAGGUACUGAUAUAAACACAGGCAAGAGUAUUUCCUUUUUACUAAGAAGUCCCAUUUCCUCGUGGGACUUCAGGAAAAUGUUCUCAGGGUGAAACAGAGAGUUGUCCAUUUAUGUUUCCAGAAGUUCCUGCCUGUGGGUGCUGAUGGGGGAACAAAUGGCAAGAAGGGACGCUCCCCAUUUUUUCCCUCUUAAUUUACUUCAAUGCUCUUUUCACAGAUUUCAUGAAGAAUCCAACUUUAGAACUAAUUUUUUUUUCCAGCUAGGAAAGCAGAUUAUGCCUUAGGCAUAAUCAUAGCAGACUUAUGUAGUAGCAAUAAUAGAGAAGGAUUAAUUUUCCUACCAAAUUGGUGUAGGUAGUAUUUGACCUAACUUUUUUCUUUUCUUUCGGUAUUUUUUUUUUUUUUAAUAUUCUUGUGAGGGUGAAGCGAUUUUGAGAGCACUCUUAGAAUCUCUCUCUCUCUCAUAUAUAUUACUUCUCUGUGAGGCUAAGCAUCUAAUUUUUUUUAAGGCUGAUGUGGAAAAAAAAUCCUUGUACCUAGUUAGUCAUUUUUUAAAAAAAAUUCACAGCAGCAAAAUGACAGACAGCUUUCAAAUCUUCAACUUGUAGGAGGGAACCCCAAUGUGUAUUACUCAUCUGGAAGAAAAUGGUCAGCGUGGGUCAGCCAGUCCUAGGGGAAUAUUGUAAAUCAAGAUCAGCUGUGCCUUCCUGGUGACACUCCAGGCCUUUUCUGCUUUUAGAACCUCCUGGCUUGGGAAGUGGAUCAUGCAGGCCAGGGGGAGGUGGAAGCAUGGGUGGGGCCGUGGGUGUAGCAUGAAGAAUACAGAAAUCUAGUAGGAGGGGGAAAGAGAGAUUAUUUUCCUGCUCUCCAUGGAAACUUUUUCACUUAUGUGUCUAUUGCACGCCCACUAAUUGAGUAGGUAGGAUGUUCCCAGCAUGGUACAAGACACUUGUGGAUACAAAGAUUAGUAAGUCCUGGCCUCAAGGAGUUUUCAAGUCUGUGGGGGUGAAGCAAGCAAACAUGACAUCAUCAUACUCGCUGAUAACAGGUACAAAGAUCUUUGGAAGCUUGAAAGAAGGUGGUUCUUCCUGCUUCAGAAAACCACCUGGGAAAACUGUCAAUAGUGAAGGUGAUUUAACCUGGGAUUCAGAAGGUGUGGGAGGUGGAGCAGAACAAGGAUGGGGAGAAGAAAGAAAUGGGAAAUCCAGGGGGAGGGAGGCACAGAGUAAAGGUAGGGACGUUCAGACCAGGUUUUGAUUUCUCUGAAGGACAAUCAUGUUUAGUUUCUUGGAUUAUUGAGGUUUGUGUGAAGAAGCUAUGGGUUUCUCACAUCUAAUUCUUAAUUAGAAUGUGUCUUCCUCCGCCCUGUCAUUCUCAUGAUGGGUAGGGGCAGUGGAUUUGAAAUGGUUUCCAAGAGAAUGGAGGUUCUUUUUAGUCUGAUGGAUGAGCCACAUUUAGAUUUCCUUCUAGAGUGAGUACAUUGAGCUCCUUGUGUCCUGGACAUUUAACUGAAGUUUUAAGACAGAGAAAGCCACGUAGAAGUGGACAAGGUUGUGAAAAUAUGAGACAGUAUUAGUACAAGGAGCAUUGUGUUCCCCUGCUUCAAAUUCCUGCCAGGAUGUAUUCCUAACUUUGCAUGUGUGCCAGAAGUUUGGGUACCAUUGGCUUCCUCUUCAGUGCUUAUGCUUCUCUCAGAACAGAUGAAACAUGCUGUUUUGGUUAGUUCUAUGUGUCUCUCUCUCCCUUGGGGCUGGAAGCCCCUCAGAGGCUGGGAGUAGAACUGUUUCACUUAUAUUCCCAGCUCCUGGCACGGCGCCAGGCACAUAAUAAGGGCUCAGUCAGUUCUAAAUGAAUGAACAAUGCAAAUGUAAGGCUUUUACCUUGUGUUCGUGAUAGCUGGAGAAUCUGAAUAUCUUUUUAUGUUUAUCAUUUAGAGUUUUUAAUUAUGAUUGCAAAAAGUAAUCACAAUUACAACUAAUUCUGAUAAAAACCAGUUUGUAUGGUGGGACUAAUCUGUUGAGGUAAAAACCAUGAGCACAAUGGUUAUUCAACUGUGUCCUCUGCCUUGACUUUGGAUAGUCACCUCCAAGAAACUCAAGAGCCUCAGGGUUGAAAACAAAAGGCUUCAAAUCCAUGUUGUCCAGUGCUCUGGUUACCUCUCAGCAUGAGGAUUAGUCUUCACUAUGCUCCCUAUCUUAAUCUUCAUACCUUCAGAACCAUAGUAACUUCUCAUACAACCCAAACUCACUUUUUGCAUAUAUUCUGCUGUGGUUAUUUUGUUGUCAUUUGAUAUACAAUUUGAACAUUGGCCAACAUACUUUCUUAGUCAGACUACAGUGAGGUUAGGAUUCUUCUUCCUAUGGCUUCUAUAU